GGUUAAGCGACUAAGCGUACACGGUGGAUGCCCUGGCAGUCAGAGGCGAUGAAGGACGUGCUAAUCUGCGAUAAGCGUCGGUAAGGUGAUAUGAACCGUUAUAACCGGCGAUUUCCGAAUGGGGAAACCCAGUGUGUUUCGACACACUAUCAUUAACUGAAUCCAUAGGUUAAUGAGGCGAACCGGGGGAACUGAAACAUCUAAGUACCCCGAGGAAAAGAAA
rnacentral:rRNA from 1 species